ACACUCCUACGGGAGGCAGCAGUGGGGAAUCUUGCGCAAUGGGCGAAAGCCUGACGCAGCCAUGCCGCGUGAAUGAUGAAGGUCUUAGGAUUGUAAAAUUCUUUCACCGGGGACGAUAAUGACGGUACCCGGAGAAGAAGCCCCGGCUAACUUCGUGCCAGCAGCCGCGGUAAUACGAAGGGGGCUAGCGUUGCUCGGAAUUACUGGGCGUAAAGGGAGCGUAGGCGGACAUUUAAGUCAGGGGUGAAAUCCCGGGGCUCAACCUCGGAAUUGCCUUUGAUACUGGGUGUCUUGAGUAUGAGAGAGGUGUGUGGAACUCCGAGUGUAGAGGUGAAAUUCGUAGAUAUUCGGAAGAACACCAGUGGCGAAGGCGACACACUGGCUCAUUACUGACGCUGAGGCUCGAAAGCGUGGGGAGCAAACAGGAUUAGAAACCCCUGUAGUCCC
rnacentral:rRNA from 1 species